GAUGAACGCUGGCGGCGUGCCUAAUACAUGCAAGUCGAGCGAACAGACGAGGAGCUGGCUCCUCUGACGGUGGCGGCUUACGGGUUAGUAACGCGUGGAUGACCUACCUAUAGGACUAGUAUAACUUCGUGAAACCGGAACUAGUACCUGAUAAUAUAUUGAACCGCAUGGUUCAAUAGUUAGAGACGUUGUUUCUGUCACUUAUAGAUAGAUCCGCGCCGCAUUGGCUAGUUGGUAAGGUAACGGCUUACCAAGGCAACGAUGCGGAGCCGACCUGAGAGUGUGAUCGCACACAAUGGAAGUGAGACACGGCGAAGACGCCUAAGGGUGGCAGUAGUAGGGAAUGUUCAGCAAUGGGCGAAAGCGUGACGGAGCAGCGCCGGGUGGCUGACGAAAGUCUUCGGAUGGUAAAAAUCAGUUCUUCGGGAAGAACAAAUGUGUAAGUAACUAUGCAAGUCUUGACGGUACCUACUCAGAAAGCCCGGGCUAACUACGUG
rnacentral:rRNA from 1 species